rnacentral:rRNA from 1 species
CCCCAGGACGGCUUAUGUAAAAAUAAAUUAGAAGGGAAUAAUAGAAAAGGACGUGUGUUUCUAUUUUUUGGGUUUAUAGGACCGCCGUAAUGAUUAAUAGGGACAGUCGGGGGCAUCAGUAUUCAAUUGUCAGAGGUGAAAUUCUUGGAUCUAUUGAAGACUAACUACUGCGAAAGCAUUUGCCAAGGAUGUUUUCAUUGAUAAGGAACGAAAGUUAGGGGAUCGAAGACGAUCAGAUACCGUCGUAGUCUUAACUAUAAACUAUGCCGACUAGGGAUCGGACGAUGUUAUUCUUUGACGCGUUCGGCACCUUU